UACGAAGGGGGCUAGCGUUGUUCGGAGUUACUGGGCGUAAAGGGCGCGUAGGCGGCCCUCCAAGUCGGGUGUGAAAGCCCACGGCUCAACCGUGGAAUUGCACUCGAGACUGAAGGGCUCGAGGACGGGAGAGGAUGGUGGAAUUCCCAGUGUAGAGGUGAAAUUCGUAGAUAUUGGGAAGAACACCGGUGGCGAAGGCGGCUCACUGGCCCGGUACUGACGCUGAGGUGCGAAAGCGUGGGGAGCAAACAGG
rnacentral:rRNA from 1 species